GCCUCCCCAACGCUGGGGAACGCCACGCCCUCGUUUACCCCCACGGACCCGUCGCCCGUCUGCCUGGGCGUGAGCUGCCGCCGCCAUCCUGGAUCGGCCAGGCUGGGUCAGACCAAAGGUCCAUCUCGCCCAGUAUCCUGUCGGCUGACCGUGGCCGAAGCCAGGUGCUUCAGAAGGAAUGAACAGACCAGGCUCUUGGUCAUAUUGGCCCGCCAAGCCCUUGUUCACAGGCUGCUGCAGCACUCGCCUGUAGGAUCUCGCAGAGCACUAUGGAG